rnacentral:rRNA from 1 species
AUGGCUUCCCUCUGUAUCGUCGUCGCGGCGGCGCUGCUGGUCCUCGGGUGCGCGAGCAGCGGCGCGACGGCGCGGCCGCUGGUCGGGGCGGCGGCGGCGAAGCAGCCGCUGCAGACGUCGCGGCCGUACAACAUCGCGCACAGGGGCUCCAACGGCGAGCUCCCCGAGGAGACGGCGGCGGCGUACAUGCGCGCGGUCGACGAGGGCGCCGACUUCAUCGAGGCGGACAUCGUGGCCACCAAGGACGGCCACCUCGUCUGCUUCCACGACGUGACGCUGGACGACACCACCGACGUCGCCGACCACAAGGAGUUCGCCGCCCGCCGCCGCACGCUCGAGGUGCAGUGGGCCAACGUCACCGGAUACUUCAUCACUGAUUUCACGCUGGCCGAGCUGAAGACGCUGAGAGUGAAGCAGAGAUGGUCCUUCCGUGACAAAUCUCACGAUGGCAUUUCUCCCAUCAUCACCUUCGACGAGUUCAUCGACAUCGCGCUGAACGCCAAGAGGGUCGUCGGGAUCUACCCGGAGAUGAAGAGCCCCGUGUUCAUCAACCAGCACGUGAAGUGGGCGGACGGGAAGAAGUACGAGGACAAGUUCAUCGGGACGCUGAAGAAGUACGGGUACGGGGGCAAGUACAUGACGAAGCGGUGGAAGGAGAGGCCGGUGUUCAUCCAGUCCUUCGCGCCGACGUCGCUCAUCUACGCCGCCGACCUGACCGACUCGCCCAAGGUGUUCCUCAUCGACGACGUGACGGUGCGGACGGAGGACACGGACCAGUCGUACGAGGAGAUCACCUCCGACGAGUACCUGGACUACAUGCGGGAGUACGUGGUGGGGAUCGGGCCGUGGAAGGACACGGUGGUGCCGCCGACGAGGGACAACACGCUGGCGACGCCGACGGACAUGGUGGCCAUGGCGCACGCCAGGGGCCUGCAGGUGCACCCCUACACGUACCGGAACGAGAACCGCUUCCUGCACUACAACUUCCGGCAGGACCCCUACGCCGAGUACGACUACUGGCUCAACGACGUCGGCGUCGACGGCCUCUUCACCGACUUCCCCGCCAGCCUCCGCCGCUUCCAGGACUGGACCGCCGCCAAGAACUGA